rnacentral:tRNA from 1 species
GUGGGUAUAGCUCAGGGGCAGAGGGCAUGCAUAGCAUGUAUGAGGUCCUGGGUUCAACCCCCAGUACUUCCA